rnacentral:rRNA from 1 species
UUUAAAUUUAGAGUUUGAUCCUGGCUCAGGACGAACGCUGGCGGCGUGCUUAACACAUGCAAGUCGAGCGAUGAAGCUUCCUUCGGGAAGUGGAUUAGCGGCGGACGGGUGAGUAACACGUGGGUAACCUGCCUCAAAGUGGGGGAUAGCCUUCCGAAAGGAAGAUUAAUACCGCAUAAUAUGAGAGAAUCGCAUGAUUUUCUUAUCAAAGAUUUAUUGCUUUGAGAUGGACCCGCGGCGCAUUAGCUAGUUGGUAA